rnacentral:rRNA from 1 species
UACGAGGGGGGCAAAUGUUGUUCGGAAUCACUGGGCUUAAAGGGUGCGUAGGCGGCGAUAAAAGUUGGGUGUGAAAUCCCUCGGCUCAACCGAGGAACUGCGCCCAAAACUGUAUUGCUCGAGGGAGAUAGAGGUGAGCGGAACUUAGGGUGGAGCGGUGAAAUGCGUUGAUAUCCUAAGGAACGCCAGGGGCGAAAGCGGCUCACUGGAUCUCUUCUGACGCUGAGGCACGAAAGCUAGGGUAGCGAACGGG